rnacentral:rRNA from 1 species
UGGGGAAUCUUGGACAAUGGGCGCAAGCCUGAUCCAGCCAUGCCGCGUGAGCGAUGAAGGCCUUAGGGUUGUAAAGCUCUUUCACCGGUGAAGAUAAUGACGGUAGCCGGAGAAGAAGCCCCGGCUAACUCCGUGCCAGCAGCCGCGGUAAUACGGAGGGGGCUAGCGUUGUUCGGAAUUACUGGGCGUAAAGCGCGCGUAGGCGGACUGAUCAGUCAGGGGUGAAAUCCCGGGGCUCAACCCCGGAACUGCCUCCAAAACUAUUGGUCUAGAGUUCGAGAGAGGUGAGUGGAAUUCCAAGUGUAGAGGUGAAAUUCGUAGAUAUUUUGGGAGGAACACCAGUGGCGAAGGCGGCUCACUGGCUCGAUACUGACGCUGAGGUGCGAAAGUGUGGGGAGCAAACAGGAUUAGAUACCCUGGUAGUCCACACCGUAAACGAUGAAUGCCAGUCGUCGGGUAGCAUGCUAUUCGGUGACACACCUAACGGAUUAAGCAUUCCGCCUGGGAGUACGGUCGCAAGAUUAAAAGCUCAAA